rnacentral:rRNA from 1 species
CUACGGGUGGCACCAGUGGGGAAUAUUGCACAAUGGGCGCAAGCCUGAUGCAGCCAUGCCGCGUGUAUGAAGAAGGCCUUCGGGUUGUAAAGUACUUUCAGCGGGGAGGAAGGGAGUAAAGUUAAUACCUUUGCUCAUUGACGUUACCCGCAGAAGAAGCACCGGCUAACUCCGUGCCAGCAGCCGCGGUAAUACGGAGGGUGCAAGCGUUAAUCGGGAUUACUGGGCGUAAAGCGCACGCAGGCGGUUUGUUAAGUCAGAUGUGCAAUCCCCGGGCUCAACCUGGGAACUGCAUCUGAUACUGGCAAGCUUGAGUCUCGUAGAGGGGGGUAGAAUUCCAGGUGUAGCGGUGAAAUGCGUAGAGAUCUGGAGGAAUACCGGUGGCGAAGGCGGCCCCCUGGACGAAGACUGACGCUCAGGUGCGAAAGCGUGGGGAGCAAACAGGAUUAGAUACCCCAGUAGUC